ACAAAGUGACGCCGCUGUCCCCGCUGUCUCCGCAGGCCUGGGACCUGGGCAAGGGGCUGAAGCUGCCGCAGGUGACGCAGUCGGGGCUGCUGGUGCUGGCCCUGACCGUGCUGUCCUCGGCCGCGCUGGCGGCGCUGUGACGGCCCCGAGAUCCCGGAAUCCCAAAAUCCCCAAAUCCCAAAAUCCCGAAAUCCCAAAAUCCCAGGAAUCCCAAAAUCCCCAAAUCCCAAAAUCCCGGGAAUGCCGGAAUCCCGGGAAUCCCAAAAUCCCCAAAUCCCAAAAUCCCGGGAAUGCCGGAAUCCCGGGAAUCCCAAAAUCCUGAAAUCCCAGAAUCCCGGAAAUCCCGGAAUCCCAAAAUCCCGGAAUCCCGAAAUCCAGGAAUCCCAGGAAUCCCAGGAAUCUCGGGAAUCCCGCCCCUCCCAUCCCCCUCCCCAAAAUCCCGGGAUGAGCAGAGCUGCCCCACCCCCCCCACCCGCAGCGAGCCCCUCGGUGUCCCCUCGGUGUCCCCUCGGUGUCCCCACGUGUCCCCGAGGCCGGGACAAUGCGGCAUCUGUGUCCCCACGAGUGGGAUUGGCACCGGGGUGGCACCACAGCGGCACAAGGAGCUCCAUUGAGGCAGCGCCCCACGGGGGUGGGUGACAGGUGACAUCUCAGUGCCACCCCCCUGCCACCCCUG
rnacentral:lncRNA from 1 species